rnacentral:rRNA from 1 species
AGUGAACGCUGGCGGUAGGCCUAACACAUGCAAGUCGAACGGCAGCACAGUAAGAGCUUGCUCUUACGGGUGGCGAGUGGCGGACGGGUGAGGAAUACAUCGGAAUCUACUUUUUCGUGGGGGAUAACGUAGGGAAACUUACGCUAAUACCGCAUACGACCUACGGGUGAAAGCAGGGGAUCUUCGGACCUUGCGCGAUUGAAUGAGCCGAUGUCGGAUUAGCUAGUUGGCGGGGUAAGGCCCACCAAGGCGACGAUCCGUAGCUGGUCUGAGAGGAUGAUCAGCCACACUGGAACUGAGACACGGUCCAGACUCCUACGGGAGGCAGCAGUGGGGAAUAUUGGACAAUGGGCGCAAGCCUGAUCCAGCCAUACCGCGUGGGUGAAGAAGGCCUUCGAGUUGUAAAGCCCUUUUGUUGGGAAAGAAAAGCAGCAGGUUAAUACCCCGCUGUUCUGACGGUACCCAAAGAAUAAGCACCGGCUAACUUCGUG